GCUAUCCUAGGUGACAUGCUGCCUAGAAGAGGGGGCUGGAAACCAGGAAGCUGCCUGUUUAUCUCCCUGGCAGACUUAGGUCAGGAGGUAUUACCUUGUGAUGCCCAGAAGUCAGCAUGGUGUCUGAAGGAAUACAAGGUGCCUCAGCCUUGAACCAGAAUGGGUGAGGAAAGACAUCUCUUACCACUCGGGAUCAAUGAUUCAGCUUUGCCCUGCAAGAGGAUGAUGCUAGGGAGGCUGCUUCUUGGGGGAUACAGGUGGGGAACAUCCCUGCCAAUAGGAGAGUAUUCGGGAACACUGAAUGUUUGGAAUAGACCCUCCCGUAACAGAGAAUCAACAGGUGAGCUGGUGACACUACUGUGUUAGUAGGAGUGGCUUCACACUGCUGCAGUGAAAAUCUCAAAAUCGGCCUACCUCAGUCGGCCCAGCAUACAUCAUGGGCGAUGGGAAGAUGGCCACCACUGUGCUUUCAGGAUUCAGGACUCCUUCCUCCAGCACAGCAGCAUGUUGCUUCAUACGCCACAUCAAAGGAACAUCGUCAUCCUUUGUCCAGCCACCAAGGGGGUGAAGGAGGAGGACAGGGCGCCGGUAGCCCCUCUCUAGAAGUUGCUUAUGAGUGUCCUGCAUUAACAGAGCAUGUCCAUUGUGCACUGGGUUGCGUAAUUGAAAUGCAAAGACAGCAUCUGAAAAGAGAAUUUCCAGAGUGAAGAAUUUCUAAUAUUACCUUCCACAGAAUGAGAAAUUUUUAAAGUUUGAUGGUGAGGAUUAAGAAAACACAUGCAGGGGCUGGGGCUGGGGCUCAGCAGUAGAGCACACACCUAGCUCGUGUGAGGUGCUGGGUUCGAUCCUCAGCACCACAUAAAAAAUAAGUAAAUGAAUAAAAUAAAGGUACUGUAUCCAACUACAACUAAAUAUACAUAUAUAUACAUAUAUAUAUAUUUUUUAAAAUACACAUGCAUGCUCAGAAUCAGAAAUCAGUGAAAAAUAUGUUCUGCUUUGACCGUUUGUCCUAAAGCAACAUGAUGCACACUUCUAGCUACAAUAAUAAAUAAAUCUUACAUGCCUGAGGAUAUGUAAUAUACUAGUCAUGGAUUUAUAAUAAUUACUCUCUCCAUUCACUGGAAACUAGAGUAACUGUCAGACUUUCUUUCUGGUCUUAACAUCUUACUCAAUUAUAACAGAUAUAAUUUCUUGGUCUGCGCUUCAAUUAAUUACCAGAUCAACUCCUCAUAGAACUGAAGACACUGCCUUAUUAAAUAAAGACAGAAAGGUAGAUACAUUUGUAGUUUCAAAAUCUUACUAUUCAAAUAUGCUCGUUUAUGUUUAGCACUUUGCUUACCUAGAACCCUACUUUGAACUGUGAGCCAGUGUCAGGAUUCUAGAUUAUAGUGCAGCAGCAAUAGUUCCCCUUUUUACAAGAGUCACUGAUGUUACUCAGACAAUGGAACCAACUAUAAGAUUAACAGAACUGAUUACUGUUUCCUGCUUACAACUCUGGUUUCAUUCCUACACAGUACUUGCUACCUACCAGAAGACUGAUCGUAGAAGCUACGGUUCUUUGGGGAAUGGAGUAAUUUCACAGAACAGAGACAAUCCAGUGUAGGAUCUCUGAUUUACUGCCCUUAACCCUGGCACAGCCUCCUAUGAUGCUGACCCAAGCCUGACUUAGAGAGAGAAACAGCCUCCUUCCACUAAUACUCUUUAAACCAAACAACAGACAUCUUCCUCAACUUAUUUUCAGUUCUGACGCUCUCCUAUCACCAUGACAAAGGCACAGGAGGAAGACUGUGACAAUGCACUUGACUAGGACUUUUUUGUUUGUUCAUUUGUUUUGCCACCUUUUGUAAUAGCCAAGAUUUACAGUAUUAUUAUUAUUAUUAUUAGUUCUCCAGUUGCUUUUUAUAUAUGAAGAAGGCUGAUUUUCACCAGCUAUUUCCUAAUAGCUAAUAUGACAUAAGGUACAAAGCACAGCAAAGUCCAUGAUACAAACACUUGAGCAUUCAAAAUUAUUUGCUUUAGGAUAGAGGAGGGAUAUGCAGAUCUGAAAAUUUUUCUAUCCUUCUAAAUUUGCUUCAAGUUUUAUUUUACAUGGACAUGAAAGACCCCAAAACCAUUCAGCAGAACUCCAGGGCUCGCCUAGAUUGAGAAUCAGUUUAUUCCCGAACUCUAUCAUACCAGUCUUUCAAAAAAGAAUGAAUAAAGAGUGCAUACACUAGUACUAAUACUCCUUAACUUAGAGAAUGACUAUCUGACCUUAUUCUGCCACUCUGGUUCCAGCCUAAAUAAAUCUCAUCACUAAAUUUAGUUUUAUGGCCUUUCUUCCCUCACUUUACCCUGCCUCCUCUGCAUGAAGUCUUGAACCCUGAAGUCACACUUACUAAGCAUUAAUGAGUCCUCCUCAUGGGCUAAUCUGCGUCACUGAACAGAGUGGGGGGCACAAGUCUACAGCAGCAGGAUCAAGGAAACUAGCUGGUACCUGGAGCUAACAGGUCCAAACCUGAGAGGACAACUGGUUUGACUGGAAGACCACAUACAAAGAGGUACGACAAAUAAGCCACUAAACUGAGGACAAUAAGAACAAGAUUUCUCGCAGUGGAAGAAAGGCAUAAAUACAGAAAGGAAAAAGGCCACAAUGUUCUGCCUCACCUCAAACCCUGAGGAAUGGAGCCAGCCUUCUAUGUACUGAGACCUCUAAAACCCUGAGCCCCCCAAUAUACUCUUCCUCCCUAAAAUUGUUCUCAUCAGGUCUUUCAGUCACAGCAGUGAAAAAGCUGACUAAAGCUACCCGUAAACUACAAAAACAUCAAGGUCAUGAAAGUUAAGAUAAA